rnacentral:misc_RNA from 1 species
GAUGAAGAACGCAGCGAAAUGCGAUACGUAAUGUGAAUUGCAGAAUUCAGUGAAUCAUCGAAUCUUUGAACGCAUAUUGCGCUCUCUGGUAUUCCGGAGAGCAUGCUUGUUUGAGUAUCAGUAAACACCUCAACUCCCUUUUCUUUUUUGAAAUUGGAGCUGGACUUGAGUGAUCCCAACGCUUUCUUCCAAGAAAGUGGCGGGUUGCUUGAAAUGCAGGUGCAGCUGAACUUUUCUCUGAGCUAUAAGCAUAUCUAUUUAGUCUGCCUAAAAAACAGAUUAUCACCAUUGCUGCAGCUAACAUAAAGGAGACUAGUUCUUGUGCUGACUGAUGCAGGAUUCACAGAGACAGCUUCGGCUGACUUUGUAAACUCGAUCUCAAAUCAAGUAAGACUACCCGCUGAACUUAAGCAUAUCAAUAAGCGGAGGA